UACCAUUUGACAUCUCAUCUCAUUUAAAUGUUCAUUUUGUACGUCAAAUUAAAAGUUGCUCUUCCCUCGCUGAAAUCGUUAUUUACCAGUGAGUUAGCCAUUUUUAGCGAAGUUAAAACUUGUUUUAUGUGAAAAUAUUCUAACAUAGGACAAUCUAUAUGUAUCUUGGGAAGGCCCGUUUCCACUUUAAAAGUUUAAACCUCUAUUUCAAGAAAUAAAUGAUGUAAACCACUAAAAAAUUCUUAAUAUAAUAUCUAUAGAUGGCGAAGAAAAUGUAGGCACGAAACGACCAAUUGAUUUCUCGGCGUUGGUUACUAUCGCUCUUUUCCAAUACUCAAGAAAUUAUAUGAUGUUGACGAAACCUAGAACAUAUGCUGCUGAGAUGAACGAAGAGUCUAGUAAAUAGAUGAUCUAAGAGAUCCCCAAAUGUUCAAAAUUCCUGAUAGAAAAAUACAUUCUGCC